rnacentral:rRNA from 1 species
AACGAACGCUGGCGGCGUGCCUAACACAUGCAAGUCGAACGAGAAAGCGGCUUCGGCUCCGUGUAAAGUGGCGCACGGGUGGGUAACACGUGGGUAACAUGCCUCUCAGCUUGUGCUAACUCGUCGACAGAUGAGCUAAUACCGUAUAAGACCACACUUCCCGCGGGAAAAAGGAUCAAAUGUAGCCUCUUUUUGCAAGCUAUCACUCCGAUAUCGGCUUGAGCACCAUUCGCUCGUUGGUAGGGUAAAGGCCUACCAAAGGAAAGAUGGUUAGCUGGUCCGAGAAGAUGAUCAGGCACACUUGGAAUGAGACACCGGCCAGAAUCCUAAGGGAGGGAGCAGUGGGGAAUAAUGCGCAAUGGGGGGAAGCUUGACGCAACAAAGACGGGGGAGGUGUGAAAGGCUUUGGGUCGUAAAGCUCUGUCGGGAGGAACGAAAGCUCCGGAGGUUAACAGCCUCGGGUGGUGACGGUACCUUAAAAGGAAGCACCGGCUAACUCUGUG